GGGCGGUUAGCUCAGCGGAAGAGCGCUUGCUUCACACGCAAGAGGUCACAGGUUCGACACCUGUACCGCCCACCA
rnacentral:tRNA from 1 species